GGGUUGUGAGGUUAAGCGACUAAGCGUACACGGUGGAUGCCCUGGCAGUCAGAGGCGAUGAAGGACGUGCUAAUCUGCGAUAAGCGCCGGUAAGGUGAUAUGAACCGUUAUAACCGGCGAUUUCCGAAUGGGGAAACCCAGUGUGACUCGUCACACUAUCAUUAACUGAAUCCAUAGGUUAAUGAGGCGAACCGGGGGAACUGAAACAUCUAAGUACCCCGAGGAAAAGAAAUCAACCGAGAUUCCCCCAGUAGCGGCGAGCGAACGGGGAGGAGCCCAGAGCCUGAAUCAGCAUGUGUGUUAGUGGAAGCGUCUGGAAAGGCGCGCGAUACAGGGUGACAGCCCCGUACACAAAAGCGCAUGUGCUGUGAGCUCGAUGAGUAGGGCGGGACACGUGGUAUCCUGUCUGAAUAUGGGGGGACCAUCCUCCAAGGCUAAAUACUCCUGACUGACCGAUAGUGAACCAGUACCGUGAGGGAAAGGCGAAAAGAACCCCGGCGAGGGGAGUGAAAAAGAACCUGAAACCGUGUACGUACAAGCAGUGGGAGCACCCUUUGGGGUGUGACUGCGUACCUUUUGUAUAAUGGGUCAGCGACUUAUAUUCUGUAGCAAGGUUAACCGUAUAGGGGAGCCGCAGGGAAACCGAGUCUUAACCGGGCGUUAAGUUGCAGGGUAUAGACCCGAAACCCGGUGAUCUAGCCAUGGGCAGGUUGAAGGUUGGGUAACACUAACUGGAGGACCGAACCGACUAAUGUUGAAAAAUUAGCGGAUGAUCUGUGGCUGGGGGUGAAAGGCCAAUCAAACCGGGAGAUAGCUGGUUCUCCCCGAAAGCUAUUUAGGUAGCGCCUCGUGAACUCAUCUCCGGGGGUAGAGCACUGUUUCGGCUAGGGGGCCAUCCCGGCUUACCAACCCGAUGCAAACUGCGAAUACCGGAGAAUGUUAUCACGGGAGACACACGGCGGGUGCUAACGUCCGUCGUGAAGAGGGAAACAACCCAGACCGCCAGCUAAGGUCCCAAAGUCAUGGUUAAGUGGGAAACGAUGUGGGAAGGCCCAGACAGCCAGGAUGUUGGCUUAGAAGCAGCCAUCAUUUAAAGAAAGCGUAAUAGCUCACUGGUCGAGUCGGCCUGCGCGGAAGAUGUAACGGGGCUAAACCAUGCACCGAAGCUGCGGCAGCGACACUGUGUGUUGUUGGGUAGGGGAGCGUUCUGUAAGCCUGUGAAGGUGGCCUGUGAGGGUUGCUGGAGGUAUCAGAAGUGCGAAUGCUGACAUAAGUAACGAUAAAGCGGGUGAAAAGCCCGCUCGCCGGAAGACCAAGGGUUCCUGUCCAACGUUAAUCGGGGCAGGGUGAGUCGACCCCUAAGGCGAGGCCGAAAGGCGUAGUCGAUGGGAAACGGGUUAAUAUUCCCGUACUUGGUGUUACUGCGAAGGGGGGACGGAGAAGGCUAUGUUGGCCGGGCGACGGUUGUCCCGGUUUAAGCGUGUAGGCUGGUUUUCCAGGCAAAUCCGGAAAAUCAAGGCUGAGGCGUGACGACGAGGCACUACGGUGCUGAAGCAACAAAUGCCCUGCUUCCAGGAAAAGCCUCUAAGCAUCAGGUAACACGAAAUCGUACCCCAAACCGACACAGGUGGUCAGGUAGAGAAUACCAAGGCGCUUGAGAGAACUCGGGUGAAGGAACUAGGCAAAAUGGUGCCGUAACUUCGGGAGAAGGCACGCUGACACGUAGGUGAAGUGAUUUACUCAUGGAGCUGAAGUCAGUCGAAGAUACCAGCUGGCUGCAACUGUUUAUUAAAAACACAGCACUGUGCAAACACGAAAGUGGACGUAUACGGUGUGACGCCUGCCCGGUGCCGGAAGGUUAAUUGAUGGGGUCAGCGCAAGCGAAGCUCCUGAUCGAAGCCCCGGUAAACGGCGGCCGUAACUAUAACGGUCCUAAGGUAGCGAAAUUCCUUGUCGGGUAAGUUCCGACCUGCACGAAUGGCGUAAUGAUGGCCAGGCUGUCUCCACCCGAGACUCAGUGAAAUUGAACUCGCUGUGAAGAUGCAGUGUACCCGCGGCAAGACGGAAAGACCCCGUGAACCUUUACUAUAGCUUGACACUGAACAUUGAGCCUUGAUGUGUAGGAUAGGUGGGAGGCUUUGAAGUGUGGACGCCAGUCUGCAUGGAGCCGACCUUGAAAUACCACCCUUUAAUGUUUGAUGUUCUAACGUGGACCCGUAAUCCGGGUUGCGGACAGUGUCUGGUGGGUAGUUUGACUGGGGCGGUCUCCUCCUAAAGAGUAACGGAGGAGCACGAAGGUUGGCUAAUCCUGGUCGGACAUCAGGAGGUUAGUGCAAUGGCAUAAGCCAGCUUGACUGCGAGCGUGACGGCGCGAGCAGGUGCGAAAGCAGGUCAUAGUGAUCCGGUGGUUCUGAAUGGAAGGGCCAUCGCUCAACGGAUAAAAGGUACUCCGGGGAUAACAGGCUGAUACCGCCCAAGAGUUCAUAUCGACGGCGGUGUUUGGCACCUCGAUGUCGGCUCAUCACAUCCUGGGGCUGAAGUAGGUCCCAAGGGUAUGGCUGUUCGCCAUUUAAAGUGGUACGCGAGCUGGGUUUAGAACGUCGUGAGACAGUUCGGUCCCUAUCUGCCGUGGGCGCUGGAGAACUGAGGGGGGCUGCUCCUAGUACGAGAGGACCGGAGUGGACGCAUCACUGGUGUUCGGGUUGUCAUGCCAAUGGCACUGCCCGGUAGCUAAAUGCGGAAGAGAUAAGUGCUGAAAGCAUCUAAGCACGAAACUUGCCCCGAGAUGAGUUCUCCCUGAGACUUAGAGUCUCCUGAAGGAACGUUGAAGACGACGACGUUGAUAGGCCGGGUGUGUAAGCGCAGCGAUGCGUUGAGCUAACCGGUACUAAUGAACCGUGAGGCUUAACCUUACAACGCCAAAG
rnacentral:rRNA from 4 species